GCUUAACACAUGCAAGUCGAGGGGCAGCAUGGUCUUAGCUUGCUAAGACUGAUGGCGACCGGCGCACGGGUGAGUAACACGUAUCCAACCUGCCGUCUACUCUUGGACAGCCUUCUGAAAGGAAGAUUAAUACAAGAUGGCAUCAUGAGUCCGCAUGUUCACAUGAUUAAAGGUAUUCCGGUAGACGAUGGGGAUGCGUUCCAUUAGAUAGUAGGCGGGGUAACGGCCCACCUAGUCUUCGAUGGAUAGGGGUUCUGAGAGGAAGGUCCCCCACAUUGGAACUGAGACACGGUCCAAACUCCUACGGGAGGCAGCAGUGAGGAAUAUUGGUCAAUGGGCGAGAGCCUGAACCAGCCAAGUAGCGUGAAGGAUGACUGCCCUAUGGGUUGUAAACUUCUUUUAUAAAGGAAUAAAGUCGGGUAUGCAUACCCGUUUGCAUGUACUUUAUGAAUAAGGAUCGGCUAACUCCGUGCCAGCAGCCGCGGUAAUACGGAGGAUCCGAGCGUUAUCCGGAUUUAUUGGGUUAAAAGGGAGCGUAGAUGGAUGUUUAAGUCAGUUGUGAAAGUUUGCGGCUCAACCGUAAAAUUGCAGUUGAUACUGGAUAUCUUGAGUGCAGUUGAGGCAGGCGGAAUUCGUGGUGUAGCGGUGAAAUGCUUAGAUAUCACGAAGAACUCCGAUUGCGAAGGCAGCCUGCUAAGCUGCAACUGACAUUGAGGCUCGAAAGUGUGGGUAUCAAACAGGAUUAGAUACCCUGGUAGUCCACACGGUAAACGAUGAAUACUCGCUGUUUGCGAUAUACGGCAAGCGGCCAAGCGAAAGCGUUAAGUAUUCCACCUGGGGAGUACGCCGGCAACGGUGAAACUCAAAGGAAUUGACGGGGGCCCGCACAAGCGGAGGAACAUGUGGUUUAAUUCGAUGAUACGCGAGGAACCUUACCCGGGCUUAAAUUGCAGAUGAAUUACGGUGAAAGCCGUAAGCCGCAAGGCAUCUGUGAAGGUGCUGCAUGGUUGUCGUCAGCUCGUGCCGUGAGGUGUCGGCUUAAGUGCCAUAACGAGCGCAACCCUUGUUGUCAGUUACUAACAGGUUCCGCUGAGGACUCUGACAAGACUGCCAUCGUAAGAUGUGAGGAAGGUGGGGAUGACGUCAAAUCAGCACGGCCCUUACGUCCGGGGCUACACACGUGUUACAAUGGGGGGUACAGAGGGCCGCUACCACGCGAGUGGAUGCCAAUCCCAAAAACCUCUCUCAGUUCGGACUGGAGUCUGCAACCCGACUCCACGAAGCUGGAUUCGCUAGUAAUCGCGCAUCAGCCACGGCGCGGUGAAUACGUUCCCGGGCCUUGUACACACCGCCCGUCAAGCCAUGGGAGCCGGGGGUACCUGAAGUGCGUAACCGCGAGGAGCGCCCUAGGGUAAAACUGGUGACUGGGGCUAAGUC
rnacentral:rRNA from 1 species